rfam:Triticum aestivum genome assembly, contig: Triticum_aestivum_CS42_TGACv1_scaffold_404550_5BL
CCAUGGCUUUGAUGAUAAACACUUUCAGCAAACAUGCCAGUUCUGCUUAUGAGAAUUCAUGACUUAAGAAACUGCUAUAGGAAAUCUUAGCCAUUG